rnacentral:rRNA from 1 species
UACGUAGGGUGCAAGCGUUGUCCGGAAUUAUUGGGCGUAAAGAGCUCGUAGGCGGUUUGUCGCGUCUGCUGUGAAAACUCGGGGCUUAACUCCGGGCCUGCAGUGGGUACGGGCAGACUAGAGUGCGGUAGGGGAGACUGGAAUUCCUGGUGUAGCGGUGAAAUGCGCAGAUAUCAGGAGGAACACCGGUGGCGAAGGCGGGUCUCUGGGCUGACACUGACGCUCAUGCACGAAAGCGUGGGGAGCAAACAGG